AGGGACAGGUGAGAGCUGCACAGAUGACAGCAACAGGGACAGGGGAAGGUGCCAGGGACAGGUGAAAUCUGCACAGGUGAGAACUACACAGGUGACAGCAGCAGGGACAGGUGAGAGCUGCACAGGUGAGAGCUGCACAGGUGAAGGGUUCCAGGGACAGGUGAGGGGUGCCAGGGACAGGUGAGAACUGCACAGGUGAGAGCAGCACAGGUGAGAGCUGCACAGGUGAGAGCUGCACAGGUGAGAUCUGCAAGGUGAGAGUAGCAGGGACAGGUUUGGGUGCGAGAGACGCAUGGAAAGGGGACAAUGAACAUGUGCCAGCGCCAGGUGAGCAGAGCAGGCCAGCUGCCAGGUGUGCCAGGUGUGCCAGCUGUGCCAGGUGUGCCAGGU